UACGAAGGGGGCUAGCGUUGCUCGGAAUCACUGGGCGUAAAGCGCACGUAGGCGGCUUCUUAAGUCAGGGGUGAAAUCCUGGAGCUCAACUCCAGAACUGCCCUUGAUACUGAGGAGCUCGAGUCCGGAAGAGGUGAGUGGAACUGCGAGUGUAGAGGUGAAAUUCGUAGAUAUUCGCAAGAACACCAGUGACGAAGGCGGCUCACUGGUCCGGUACUGACGCUGAGGUGCGAAAGCGUGGGGAGCAAACAGG
rnacentral:rRNA from 1 species